rnacentral:rRNA from 1 species
AGCAGUCGCCACGGUAAUACCGAGGGUGCAAGCGUUAAUCGGAAUUACUGGGCGUAAAGCGCGCGUAGGUGGUUCAUUAAGUUGGAUGUGAAAGCCCUGGGCUCAACCUGGGAACUGCAUCCAAAACUGGCGAGCUAGAGUAUGGUAGAGGGUGGUGGAAUUUCCUGUGUAGCGGUGAAAUGCGUAGAUAUAGGAAGGAACAUCAGUGGCGAAGGCGACCACCUGGACUGAUACUGACACUGAGGUGCGAAAGCGUGGGGAGCAAACAGGAUUAGAUACCCCAGUAGUCCCUGUCUCUUAUAC